rnacentral:rRNA from 1 species
UAUCUCUGUAGAGUCUGCAUAUCAAUAAGCGGAGGAAAAGAAACUAACUAGGAUUCCCUCAGUAACGGCGAGUGAAGCGGGAAGAGCUCAAAUUUGAAAUCUUCAAGGUUCUACCUUGACGAAUUGUAGUUUAAAGAAGUGUUUUCUGUUGGAGUUUUGGUAAAAGUUCUUUGGAAUAGGACAUCAUAGAGGGUGAGAAUCCCGUAUUUGACCAUUAUUUCCAGCUUUGUGAUACACUUUCAAAGAGUCGGAUUGUUUGGGAAUGCAGUCCAAAAUGGGUGGUAAAUUUCAUCUAAAGCUAAAUAUUGGCGAGAGACCGAUAGCGAACAAGUACCGUGAGGGAAAGAUGAAAAGAACUUUGAAAAGAGAGUUAAACAGUACGUGAAAUUGUCAAAAGGGAAGCGUUUGACACCAGUGUUGUUUUCUCGAAAAUCAAUUAAAAAUGGCUUGAUUUUGUGUUGUAUUGACCUUAAAAGCUUUCUUCACUUUUUUCAUGUCUUUUUUAAUGCACUUUUCGUUUAACAAGUCAACAUCAGUUUCUUUUGUUGUAAAAAGGGUCAUUGGAAGGUGGCUUUCUUUUCGGAGAAAGUGUUUAUAGCCUUUGGCCUCUGCAAUCGGAGAGAUUGAGGUCUGCAGCGUAGAUCCUUCGGGGUUAGAUACAUUUGUGCUAAGUUAUAGCCUUUCAUAGACAACUUGUUGACUAUGAUCAGUCAUGUAGCUUACUCGCUUAUGCUAUUUUACCUACGCUUAGGAUGUUGAAGAUGUAGCACAUCAU